rnacentral:tRNA from 1 species
GAGGGUAGAGCUCAGUGGUAGAGCGCAUGCCUAGCAAGCAUGAGGUCCCAGGUUCAAUCCCCAGUACCUUCA